rfam:Sorghum bicolor cultivar BTx623 chromosome 3, whole genome shotgun sequence.
GUAGUCGGAUUCGCAUCAAUCCACAUGUGUUGGGGUAGAUUGGAGUGGAACUUGAACUAAAUUCCACCUCAAUCCACUCCAACGCAUGUGAAGUGAAUCCGACA